rnacentral:lncRNA from 10 species
AGGAGGCCACUGUUGACCUUUGUGGGAGCUGUCAGAAAGUUAUUUGAAGUAGAUCAAGAAGAGAAUGGGAAAUAAAAAAUAGAGAAAUCAGACUUGAGCCUCCAGAACUGUGAGACAAUGACUUUCAGUUGUUUAAGCCACCCAGUCUGUGGUACUUUGUUCUGGCAGCCCUAGAAAACUGAUACAAGAUCAUAGGAAAAAGAUGAACAUACGAAGGAUAGUUGUUGGUGUACGUUCCUCAGAAGGUGAGAAAGGAAGCUAUUUUCUUGUCUGGAAGAACAUUUCAGAAAAGGAGAAAGGCUCAGUGAUGAUGAUGCUAUGACUGCUGCCCUCUGCUAAUGGCUCUUUGGGCUUCCACCGACCAGGAGGCAACACAACUACACACUGUGUGAACUGAACCUCAGAUACCACUGGCCUGUCACCAACAGAUUUUGAAGCAAAUGAUGUGAUUGUUCACCGAUUAUCAGUGCAUCUGUUAUUUACAUAGUGAUUUGUGAACUGACAAGUUAGCAGCAGUUUCUGCUUUAUGCAAUUGUUCUGUUAAUAGACUGUGAUUGUGGAAAAUCCAAAAGCCUUUCCUGGAGAAGUUCCACUUGUUUUACAUAGGCUACUGGAUGUCUGGCUUGAUACCAAUAAUCUGAACUGUUAUUUAUUGUGGGUUCUCCAUGGUGGAGGUAAUUAUCUCUGGACAUUGAAAUGACCGGAUUGGGGCGUGCUCCACGGACCACUCCUGGAACACAUUGCAGAGGAGAGGAUUGUGUCUCUGGAACUCUUCUCCUUUGAAGGAGUCUUUGGACUAGGCAGAAAGUGAUCAAUUUCCUCUCAUAUUACCCUCAACCUGCGGCCUAUUUGUACUCCUGAUUGGAUAAAAGGGUUAAGAAGAACAAAAUGGUUGGAGAGAUUUUUGAAUUUUUAUGAUAAUUAUUUGGUGUCCCAGGAUCUACUGAAUGUCUCAAGAGAGGAACUUUUUUCCACUUCACAAAUUCUAAUUUUUGACUUGAUAAAGAAUGAUGAAUAUUUGUCACACAGAUAUUUAAAUGGAAUCAGGGCUGUAUAUAACCAUGACAUAAUACUUUGUCAAAAAGUGAAAAGUUAAUCUGGUUGAAGGUAUUUUUACCUGGCAUAUGGAGAAGAUGAUGACAAUAAUGUGGAACUUGAUUAGACAUCAACAGAGACUCAAUGCCUCCUGGAAAACACCUGAGAAAUGAUUGAAGCUCGCUCUGGUCUUGCCUGGAAUCAUGCAUAACAUUUGUUGCUGCCUGCAUGUGGAUUCAUUUUAGCAGUUUAUCAAUUUGGACAGGGAAUUUUGAAUAAAAAAUUUUGGCAGUCAUUAUAGUGACUCUUCUGAGACUGAAAAUUCAGGUAACAAGGAAAAUCAGUGACUCUUUCUCUCUGCUUUCUUCAAAACACAAAUAAUCCAAUGAUGUAUAGGCUGCAUUGCCCUUUGAUUUGUUACCUUAGAGAUCAUUACAUGUUAGUACAUAAAGAAACUUCCCAAUCUUCUUUUAUAGCAUCCAGGUACUCCAAUGUGUAAUUCAGCCAUAACUUAAUAAAAUGGACUCUGUUUGAUAAACAUUUGGAUUAUUUCAAAUAUUUUACUAUUAUAAAGAAUGUUGAA